GAUGAACGCUAGCGGCAGGCUUAACACAUGCAAGUCGAGGGGUAUAGUUCUUCGGAACUAGAGACCGGCGCACGGGUGCGUAACGCGUAUGCAAUCUACCUUUUACAGGGGAAUAGCCCAGAGAAAUUUGGAUUAAUGCCCCAUAGUAUAGUUUAUUCGCAUGAGUAGAUUAUUAAAGUUCCAACGGUAAAAGAUGAGCAUGCGUCCCAUUAGCUAGAUGGUAAGGUAACGGCUUACCAUGGCGACGAUGGGUAGGGGUCCUGAGAGGGAGAUCCCCCACACUGGUACUGAGACACGGACCAGACUCCUACGGGAGGCAGCAGUGAGGAAUAUUGGUCAAUGGACGCAAGUCUGAACCAGCCAUGCCGCGUGCAGGAUGACGGUCCUAUGGAUUGUAAACUGCUUUUGUACGAGAAGAAACACUGCUACGUGUAGCAGCUUGACGGUAUCGUAAGAAUAAGGAUCGGCUAACUCCGUGCCAGCCGCCGCCGUAA
rnacentral:rRNA from 1 species